ACGGAGGGUGCAAGCGUUAUCCGGAUUCAUUGGGUUUAAAGGGUCCGCAGGCGGGGUAUUAAGUCAGUGGUGAAAGCCGGCAGCUCAACUGUCGAAUUGCCAUUGAUACUGGUACUCUUGAGUGUAGUUGAAGUAGGCGGAAUAAGUCAUGUAGCGGUGAAAUGCAUAGAUAUGACUUAGAACACCGAUUGCGAAGGCAGCUUACUAAGCUAUAACUGACGCUCAUGGACGAAAGCGUGGGGAGCGAACAGG
rnacentral:rRNA from 1 species